rnacentral:rRNA from 1 species
AGUGAACGCUGGCGGCGUGCUUAACACAUGCAAGUCGAAUGAGAACGGGUUAUAGCUUGCUAUAAUUGUCAGCUAAGUGGCGCACGGGUGAGUAAUGUAUAGGUAAUAUGCCUCUUACUAAGGGAUAACAAAUGGAAACGUUUGCUAAUACCUUAUACUCCUUAUUAACAGAAGUUAAUAAGGGAAAGAUUUAUUGGUAAGAGAUUAGCCUGUAUUGUAUCAGUUAGUUGGUGGGGUAAUGGCUUACCAAGACUAUGACACAUAACUGGUUUGAGAGGAUGAUCAGUCACACUGGAACUGAGACACGGUCCAGACUCCUACGGGAGGCAGCAGUGGGGAAUAUUGCACAAUGGACGAAAGUCUGAUGCAGCAACGCCGCGUGGAGGAUGACACAUUUCGGUGCGUAAACUCCUUUUAUAUGAGAAGAUAAUGACGGUAUUAUAUGAAUAAGCACCGGCUAACUCCGUGCCAGCCGCCGCUGUAAGAC